UUGCGACAGGACGUAAGUGACUGCGAAGGCAGUGCGACAGCUGCCGGAGGGCCGAGGAGGCGGAGCGGCGGGUCCUGUCCUCGCCAUGAGGCCGCAGCAGGCGCCGGUGUCCGGGAAGGUGUUCAUCCAACGAGACUACAGCAGCGGCACACGCUGCCAGUUCCAGACCAAGUUCCCCGCGGAGCUGGAGAACAGGAUUGAUAGACAGCAGUUUGAAGAAACAGUUCGAACUCUAAAUAACCUUUACGCAGAAGCAGAGAAGCUUGGGGGCCAGUCAUAUCUUGAAGGCUGUUUGGCUUGUUUAACAGCAUAUACCAUCUUCUUAUGCAUGGAAACUCAUUAUGAGAAGGUCCUGAAGAAAGUCUCCAAAUACAUUCAGGAACAGAAUGAGAAGAUAUAUGCUCCCCAAGGCCUCCUCCUAACAGACCCCAUUGAGAGAGGACUCCGAGUUGUAUCUUUUUAGUCCAGAUCAGAAGGUCCAAAUAUCUAUAAAAAGAACAUGUUCAGUGUGUUUUCUUAACGGCCAUGCUGUUCAGAUUGAAAUCACCAUCUAUGAAGACAGAGGUGUGAGCAGUGGAAGAUAAACCAUAGGAUUAAAGAUCCCGCCUCCAGCUGGGACCUUCGUCUAUCCACUGGCCGAUGGCAGAGUGUCCCUACCUCCUCUCCAGAGCGUAUUCUCUUGUAUCUGCUGCCAGAGCCACGGUGCCACACCUGGAGUGACCUCUUGUCGCUCAGCAUCCACUUCGUGUCUCCCAAUUGUGUAGGACUCUGUAAUCUUUUGAUUCGUUUCAAGAAAAUACAAGGAAGCAUUUCACUUUUUAAAAUUCAAAGCCAUUUAAAUAAUAAGCAGUUGGUCAGCCCAAGACAAAGUCUUUUUCUUACCUGACACCAGUAUCAUUGGUUCUGUUCAUUCCUUGGACCAGUUCCCUAGGUGACUUUAUAACUCAACAAGUCAUGACUUAGCACAGUUACUCCCCCACAUUAGUGACAGGCUUUGAGGGUGUGUCACACAUGUGCUUUGGCUGAUGCACCACCCAGAUCUCCAAAAGCUGCCGGUCUUGACGUGAUUCCGAUCUUAAGAUUGAUUUCUGCUGUUCAAUUUCAGAAACUGAAGCUCCCUGAGAGAAUAAUAUAUGUUAUUUGUUUUAGUAUUGCAGUUAUUAUUAAAGCAGUAUUUAAUGCAAUUCAGGUUGUUUCUUUGAAAGCAUUUAUGUUCAUGUGCAUUACCUCGAAAUGUCGGGAAGAUGUUGUGUGUGUUGCUUGUUCAUUACACAAAUCAGUAAGCACAAUAAAUAGAUGCUCAACCAUCAGAUAUGCCUGUCCCUGCUCUGCCCCAAGUGUGUAACAAGCAAGUGACAUUUAACUCUAGUUUUGUUACAGAUAUAACUUAGGAGAAAAGUUAAUAGGAAUUAUGCUGUAUGUUGCUAAUUUGUAACCUACUCAUAAACUCUGAUUCAUAGCCUCCACAUACAGUAUUCAGGGCACAGAAAUCUUUUCAUUGACUCGAGUAAGUUUUGGCUUCCACAUUAAACUUGCAAGUUCAAGUCAAUUUUCCAGCUCUUCUUUAUCUCUAUACUCUUAGUAUUGGAAUUUAUGUCCUUUCUUUUAGAAGUUUGAGAGCACUGUAUUUGGUUGAAAGUUAAGAAAGCUAAGGAAUGAAUGAAGCAGUUAAAAGUUUAACUUUUAGAGAUACUGUAGGUGCUAAUACUGGAUUUAAUCUUUCAGAUUUAAUUUGUUUUCUGGGCCUUGUGGUUAUUCAGUAAUCCCAAUAAAUCUGUGUAAUAAUUUAAUUGUAUAAACCUUAUUUGUUCCUUUAAAGCCUAUAUUAGUCUGUCUGCCUUUUAAACUUGUUGCAAUAACUUUGCUGAAAUAUUAACACAUUAGUAAAACUUUUCUUAAAUAAA